AUGCUAAGCACCAACCUUUGCAUAAUUGCAGAGUAUGGAGAAGGCUCCGUAGUCUCAACAACGGGUGAUAUUUGUAGUCUUGUCAUAUUGCUGCUUGAGAUGUUUACCGGAAGAAGCCCAACAGAAGGCAUGUUCAGAGAUUCAUUGGAUCUGGAUAAGUUUGUUGAGGAUGCUCUUCAAGAUAGGACCCUAGGGAUAGCUGACCCAACAAUGUGGCUGCAUAGCGGAGAAUGGGAUAACACUACAAGUAUUAGAAUCCAAGAGUUAUUGGUUUCAGUUUCAGGCUUGGCAUAUCCUGCUCCAAGGCACAGCCUCGAGACCGAGCACUGA
rnacentral:rRNA from 1 species